AUUUCCUCUCUCUCUAAAAAUCAAAUUUAAAAAAUCAGAGGGCAAGGACUGGCAGGGGGUGGGUACAUAAUGGGGGAUAUCUGUAGUAGUGUCAACAAUAAAAAAUUUAAAAGAAUUAAAUUUUAAAACUUUUUUCAAAGGUAGUGAGUGUUUUUUCCUUUUAUCCUGAUUUUCAGAAGGGCUUGGUGUAGGAGUGGCGGCUGUGUAGCUGGCUAACUAGGGAAUGGUGUUCUAAUGGGAUGUCUGAUUAUGGAGGGCCCUGUGCUGGGGCCUAACCAGGGUGACCUCUCGUGUUCUGCCUUACCCUCCACCCUCCUCUGGGGCAGGGGUGUUCUGUGGUGCACUGUCCCAAGAGAGCAGAUGAAGAGGCUGUGUCAGGACUUCCUCCCAAGCUGUCCACCCUACCCAGGCCCAGGUGCCUUAGGAGGUGUAGAUUUUCACUCCAUCACAUGGCAACAAGCAUCACUGUGCUGGAGGAACCAGGGGACACCCACUGGGUGUUGUGUGGAACUGUGGUAUCUGGCAUCCCUUUCUCCUCUGGGGCUGCCGUACUUCACCCCCUGGGCUCGCCCUCUCUGCACAGUCACCUCCUGCCCAGAUCCUACCUGUCCUCCAAAGUCCUGGGUAAACGUAGUGGGUCAAUAAGUGACUCCUUAAUACAAAUCAUGGUUUGGUGCCCUGGAUCAUACGGGAAGAGAUUCAAAUAUGACAGCACCUUCCCCUUCUCCCCCUCACUGGCACCUUUGUCCUCAGGGAGGCUGUCACUCUGGUCUAUCUUGCUCAUUGGAUUCCCACAGGACUAUGAGUUUAUGAGUGGCAGGGUCCUAUCUCCCUGAUUCUACCACUUAUGAUAUAUGUUUUCUGUUAGAGUAGAGGUCUCUUUAAGCACUCCUGUUCUUCUCUGGAAUCCCAGAACCUAGGGGACCCCAAGUCUUUCAUAAGUUGGGCAGCUGGAGAAUUUCACUCCUCUAACUCAAAGACAUACUCUGUCCAUGUUCAGCAGGAAGCAGUUACAGAAGUAUGACCCUCAUUCACAUUCCCUCGAGAAUGAGGAAUGAAAAAUCGGGAGCAGGAGAGGAGGGUGGAAUUGUCAGAGAGGGCAAGGAUCUCAAGGUCUGGAAAGUUCUAAAUGUUGUUACUAAGUGUUAUUCUUGCUAAAUGUGAAAUUGUAGCA